CCCAGAAACGUGAGCUGUAAAGCUUAGCAAAGAAGUUGAGGACGUCAUUAGUCCGCCGCGAAGAGAAGAAACAAAAAUGGCGUUCUUCCAAGUUCGUCCUCUACCGCGCUCGUCUCUUCCGAUUACCUUCCUUGAGGUUCCGUUUCCGUCCCGUCACUGCUUCCUCACACAUUUGUGCUCCAUCGAUCGACAAGUCUACGUUCUUCGUAUCCGAAACGGUGUCAGAGGAUGAGCUUUGGGCUGCACCUUGUCUUCGCGUACGGACCUUCAAUGAGCUCAAUAUCCUUCUGCUUACAAUAUCCAAUUUCUUUAGGAUCACAGAAUAUACUUGUCCGAGCGUGAGUUCGAGGCGCUUAAGGAGAGAACUUCAGGAAAGAGGGAAGGGUUUAGGCCGGUCGCCUGCAUAAAUGCUACUCUUCCUUUGUCGCAACUAUCAAGCUCUUCCGAGGAUUUAUGCUCUGCAUGUAAGAAACAACAGGAAACGUAGCUGGUAUCAGAGCUUUAUGUGAUGAAAUAGUAGAGAUCCAAACCAAGAUUGAGAUCAAAUGAAAGAUAUCUGAAGUGCUAUCAUCUUACUGUCAAGUAAGUUAAUGCAGCCUUAAGACACCUCGUUGAUGGCUUGUUUUUUUGUGUUUAAGAUUGCAUUUCAGUGUAGUUUAAUUCUCUCUUAAAUAUGCAACAUAAUAAAUGAAUUACAAAAGAACUUGCUUUUGCUUCUAUUUUUCCAUUGUUUUGUGCAUGGAGUAGCUUCUCCAUCUGUUGGGACGAGUGAGAUUUGUAAAAGAAGUUCCAUUUCAUUUUUUUU